UGUUUUCUUUCUUUUCAGUUGCGUACGUGUAUGGUGAGAACUGUACCAGUUCUGCACAGGAAUGUACGAGUUUUACAUGUUCUCCAAACUUCCAUAAAGAAUGUGUUAACAUGGUGUGCACGUGUAAUCCAAAUCAAGCCGUUACUUGCUAUUUUCAAUCUGAUUGUACGAACAGUGAUCAACUACCAAAUUGUAACAGAAAUUGGCAUUGCGUAGACAACAGAUGCAGAUGUUAUUAACAAUUCUAUUAUCGAGAUACUGAUAUUAAUUUGGCAAGACAACACUAGUAAAAUCACGAAGUAUA